rnacentral:tRNA from 3 species
GGGGGUAUCGGUUAAUGGCUAAACCACCGGUCUCCAAAACCGGAACUCCAGGUUCGAAUCCUGGUACCCCCGCCA